GAUGGUGUCUUGGAGCUUAACAUUGAAGCCCUUAAGAGUUUCUUUCUUCCCGUUCACUUCUUGUUUGAGCUCAGCUGGGACGCAGGAUACCACAGAGAGAUGAGGUGAGAGGCCACCUGAGCGUUUCCCCAUGAGCCCAUAGAAACGAAGGGCUUUAGAUCUUUUCAUCAGACUGACCAUCGGGACACUCCAUGGAGAGCCUGCCAAGCUGAGCAUCUACAUUUGGGUUUGGCUGUUCCACUCUCCCGACAGCUCAGCCUGGGCCAAACCACAGGAAAAGGAAGCGAAAGGUCCUCUCUGAAGAGCUUAUAAAAUAUUGUCCCAAGCAAAAAUGGUCGACAUGAAUGGCAACAUUCAGGCCUGCCACCACAAAUAAAAGACCUUUGA